UAAAUCAAUUCGUACCGGUUUUAUAAAUAUCUUCCCUAUAUAUCUAAUAAUCCAUCCUCAUCCUCUGUGACUCACGUUCACUCCCUCCUUUUCUUUCAUUGUCACGUUUCUUUCUUUCUCUUGCAGUAGACCAUAAUUUUUCUUUCUUAUUCUUCUUCUUCUCUAUUUCUAUAUAUAUAUAUCUCACCACUUGUUGCAACUCACGUUCUCUCUCUCAGAAGCAUCACCACCAGACUUCAAUAUUUAUUCAUUUCCUUUCUUUUCAUUUCUUUUGCUGCAGCUCACCAAUUCUUUCCACUUAUUCUUCCUCUCUUUUCUUUCCCCUGGGCAGCAUAAAAAAACGCACAUCAUGGUCCCUUUUCCUCCCUCACGUGAUUCCUCUCUUGUGCAGCACCAUCAUCUUCAUCUUCCAAUUUUAUGGGUACGAAGGACGAAAGCGCCUUGCGACGAAGCUAAAGAAUAGAAGGAAGCGAGCCGACGCGGAAAACAAAGAUGUGAUAGGAUUGGAGUUGCAGUUUAAGAAGAAAAUUGGCUAAGGCUUCUGCCGAGUGAACUUAUUGAGACGUGUGUCUCCGUUUUCUGAGAGGCUUCGGCCGUUUACUGGUUUCUGUCGUUACUGCUUCCUAGUGGAUGGAACAUGUGGUUACUUUGGAUUGGUCCUUGGUUGGGCUUUGUUGUUGUCUGACUUGGCAUAUAGGGCUUGAGUCAAGUGGCGAUGAGGAGGUGUGUCCUAUCAUUGUCCCAUCUUGCGAGAUGCUAAGUGGCGAUCAGGAGGUGUGUCCUAUGAUUGUCCCGUCUUGUGUGACGUUAAGUGGCGAUUAGGAGGCGUGUCCUAUGAUUGUCCCGUCAUGUAUGACGUUAUAAGUGGCGAUGAGGAGGUGUGUCCUAUCAUUGUCCCGUCUUGAGAGACGAUAUUGAUCGAUCCAUUUUGUUAGCGACAUAUAGUUGAAUUAUAGGGAACUAACACCCGACCCUAUGUUGGAUUUUCGUAUUGGGUUACUGAUAUCUGAUUUGAUGUUACAUUGUUGAGGUUAUUAUUAUCUGAGUUCGAUAUAUGUUUAAGUUGUUGAUAUAUGAGUUGAGUUAUGUUGCUAGUUAUUUACCAUGCCAGGUAAUUAAAUUCGAACAACAUGAUUUUCUCUUUUAUACAUGGUAAUUGCAUGGAGUUAACCCUUUCUAUUUGCUACUGAAGGUGUGAAAAACGACUAGAAGGGGGGGUUGAAUAGCGUUUUCAAUAUAAAAACUUUCCCCUUAAGUUUUAAAGUAAAUCUUUUCGGUUUCUCUAAGAUAGAUGGUGCAGCGGAUAAAGAUAGAGAGAAGAGAGAAGCACACAAGUAUUUUAUCCUGGUUCACUUGAUAAAUCCCUCAAGCUAAUCCAGUCCACCCGUUAAGGUGAUUUCUUCCUUCUUAGAAUGAAGGCAAUCCACUAAUCAGAUAAUUGUUACAACUGCACUUGAAACCUACAAGUGACUAACAAUACACUGACUUAGCUCACACUAAGAUUCACUCUCUUAGUCUUCUCUAGGAUCCGAUCAACCUUGAUCUCCUAAAGGAAUCACCACUAAGAUUCACUCUCUUAGUCUUCUCUAGGAUCCGAUCAACCUUGAUCUCCUAAAGGAAUCACCACUAAGAUUCACUCUCUUAGUCUUCUUAAGGAUACUGACCUACCCGGUCCCUUAAGGAAAAUCAAACAACUGUUUGAGGUUGGUGUUUACAAAGGUUUGCUUCUAAAUAAGCUGAGUGUAAACUAAAUAAGAACAGAUGAAGAAAGUAGAGGCUUGAAUCUUUUCUUGUAUUGCAGCUCUGGGUUUCUCUCACUCUUCUCGCUCUCUUUUUCUUUCUUCUUUUCUUCAGCCUUUUAUAGUCCAAGGUGCAAAGGAUAUUUCUGUUGAGAGAAUAUGACCGUUGGAGGGCAUUUCUGGAACUUCCAGAACCUGCAGUGGCUGAACUUUGGUAGGUAGGCAUUUCAGAAUAGUACACUGCUCUUGUACUUCUCGAUAGAGACAUUUGCCUUUAACCAUUGACUUCUGAUCAGAGUUAUGCUUCGUGUUGGAACUUGUGAAGCUUGGUGAUCAGAGUCAGAGGGAAGCUUGGAUCCUCUGACCUUCGUAACUUCUGCUUCUGGACCUUCAGAGCUUCUGAACCUUCAGAGCCUCUGGUCCCUCAGAGCUUCUGGUCUUCAGAUCUUCUGAUCCUCUGAUCUUCUGAUCCUCUGAUCUUCAGAUCCUCUGAUCUUCAGAUCCUCUGAUCUUCAGAGCUUCUGAUCCUCUGAUCUUCUGAUCUUCAGAACUUCUGUUCUUCAGAUCUUCUGAUCCUCUGAUCUUCUGAUCUUCAGAACUUCUGACGAAUAUAUCUUCUGGUGUCAGAAUCAGAACCUGUUUGUCAAAACACUCAAGACAAACAUUAGAGUAUCAUAGUUGUUCAUCCACAAAUAAAUACUUGUUAUCAUCAAAACAUAGAGUUGUACCACAUGACCAAAUCUUGAUCUUACAAUCUCCCCCUUUUUGAUGAUGACAAAACCAUGUAUUUUGAUGAACAACUCUAAACAAAUAAACUGAAUACACUCAGAGUAUAAGGUAUCAGAGUUAAAACUUAUCCUGAUGUGUAUAGUUUAUCUUGCUCCUUCUGAAUCCAAGACUCGUGCUUGAUUCUGAGCUAAGCUCCCCCUGAAUCUAAUACUUAAUAUCAACGUUAGUAAUAUCUAGAUUCUGAGCUUAAUAAAAUAGGAGUUGUCAAGAUACUAUAAGUUCUCCCCCUUUUUGUCAUAAGCAAAAAGAAUGAAGGUGGAGGGAAAAAAAAUAGUAAGAGCAUAAGACGAAAUACUCCCCCUCAGAAGGAAUACCAAGGGAUUCUUGGCUUCUGAUUAGCAUAUCUUCUGAUGAGAGUAGAAGUGUGGUUCUGGUGACAUCUCCGUUCUGGACAAAAUUUCAUCUUCAGAUACUUCAGAAUGAGAAGCUAGGAACCUACUCUUCUUCUGAUGACGCAAGUCAGAAGUUGUAGUAGCAUCUUCUGAUGUUGUUGCUUCUGGUUCGACAAGUUCUGAGUCUUUGUUUCUUUCUGAAACGGUCAUGCUCAUCUCUGCAAGCUUUUUCAGCUAGCUUUGACUUGAUCAAAUCUUACUCCACUGAUGCCUCCAAGAUUAACUUCACCUUCAGGUUCAAGUUUUGGAUCUUGGGACAUAUGCCUUUCUCCCAUCAUGUGUUGCUUGCAUCCACUGUCCAGGUUCCAUGGUUGGAGUUUCGAUGGACCUAUUGAAGAUAUCUGCAACAUAUAUAAUCUUAUCCCUAGGUACCCACUUUCUGGGUCCUUUCUUGUUAGUUAGCCCAGAAGCUCUGACAACUUUGGGUCUUUCAACAGGAUAAUAUAAAGGAAUUUGAGCAUGAUAUUUUGACAUAGAGAAAGUUCCUUUCUUAAGAGAUGAUGCAGCAACUUCAGAAGAUUUAGAAUAGAAAAUGCUAUAUAUUCCAUUUCUGCUUACGCCAUAGAUCAUUGAAGCCAUUAAGCUUCUGUCUACGCUUUUAGCCAGGAAUCUUUGAAAAGACUUUUCAUACUUAGAUUCAUUUCUACAAUCAGAGGCAUCACAAGCAACUAUAUCUUCUAACUUAGCAAUCUGGUUCUUAAGCACAGAGUUAGAAUUUACCAAAGCAUGAUUAUCAUUUUUCAAAACAGAAAUAAUUUUCUCAUGUUCAGACGAAGUUUCAGAGGCAGCAGAGAAAUUCUUUUUCAACCUUUUAUGCUUAGUCAAGAGAGAGUUAUAUUUAUCCAUAAUUUCAGACAAAGCAUCUUUAAGUUCAGAAGUUGAGAAAGAAUCAAAUACCUCAUUUUCAUCGUCAGAGUCUGGAUCUCCUUCUGAUUCUGAGUCAGAGUCAACAGCUUCCUUUGACUCUGCUCCUUUGUCUUUGACAAUAGCUAUGAGUCCUUGACUUUCACCAUCAGAGUCAACAUCCUCUGACUCUGAUUCGUCAAAAGUCACCAUCAGACUCUUCUUGGUCUUGAAAUGCUUCUUUGACCUUUCGUCCUUUGAUGAACCUUUGUAUUUGCUCUGCCUGUGCUUCCAGAUGCAGUUGAACUUUCUGGAUAUCAGAGUCAGCUCAUCUUCAUCAGAAUCUUCUUCAGAGGCUUCUUCUGCUUCUGCUUGGAUAGCCUUAGCCUUUUCAGAUUUGGAUUUCAAGGCUAUAGACUUCUUCUUCUGAUUCUGAUGUUCAGCACGCUUUAGUUCAUGACACUUCAGUAUGCUGAUGAGUUCUUCUAAACUCAUAUGCUCAACAUCUCUUGUAAGCUCUAUUGAAGUCACUAAAGGCAUCCAGCUUUCAGGAAGACUUCUGAUGACCCUUAUGACAUGAUCUUUUGUAGUGUAGCUUUUGUUGAGAGGUCUUAUUCCAGCUACGAGCAACUGAAAUCUGGAAAACAUAUCUUCAAUGGAUUCGUCAGUUUCCAUUUGGAAGGAUUCAUACUGCUUGAUUAGAGACAACGCCUUUGUCUCUUUCACUUUCUUGUUUCCUUCAUGAGACAUCUGCAAGGAUUCAAAGAUGCCCUUGGCGGAAUCACGAUCAGUAAUUUUCUCAUAUUCUUCAUAUGAAAUGGCACUUUGCAGAAUAGAUCUUGAUCUGUGAUGAUCUCUGAAUUCCUUCUUUUGAUCUUCACUCAUCUUCUUCCUUGGGAUCUUUACACCAUGUUCAUCGACAGGAGGGGUGUAGCCAUCAACAACAAAAUCCCAAAGAUCAGGAUCAAAGCCAAGAAAGAAGCUUUUGAUUCUGUCUUUCCAGAAAUCAAAUCUCUGACCAUCAAAGAUAGGUGGUCUUGCACUGUAUUGAUAUUUGCUUGUAGUAGUGGUGGAAUCCAUGAGUUUUUCACACUGGCCCGGAUCUACUGAACACUGUUAAGUGUGGUAAUCAGAACUUGCGCUCUGAUACCAAUUGAAGGUGUGAAAAACGACUAGAAGGGGGGGUUGAAUAGCGUUUUCAAUAUAAAAACUUUCCCCUUAAGUUUUAAAGUAAAUCUUUUCGGUUUCUCUAAGAUAGAUGGUGCAGCGGAUAAAGAUAGAGAGAAGAGAGAAGCACACAAGUAUUUUAUCCUGGUUCACUUGAUAAAUCCCUCAAGCUAAUCCAGUCCACCCGUUAAGGUGAUUUCUUCCUUCUUAGAAUGAAGGCAAUCCACUAAUCAGAUAAUUGUUACAACUGCACUUGAAACCUACAAGUGACUAACAAUACACUGACUUAGCUCACACUAAGAUUCACUCUCUUAGUCUUCUCUAGGAUCCGAUCAACCUUGAUCUCCUAAAGGAAUCACCACUAAGAUUCACUCUCUUAGUCUUCUCUAGGAUCCGAUCAACCUUGAUCUCCUAAAGGAAUCACCACUAAGAUUCACUCUCUUAGUCUUCUUAAGGAUACUGACCUACCCGGUCCCUUAAGGAAAAUCAAACAACUGUUUGAGGUUGGUGUUUACAAAGGUUUGCUUCUAAAUAAGCUGAGUGUAAACUAAAUAAGAACAGAUGAAGAAAGUAGAGGCUUGAAUCUUUUCUUGUAUUGCAGCUCUGGGUUUCUCUCACUCUUCUCGCUCUCUUUUUCUUUCUUCUUUUCUUCAGCCUUUUAUAGUCCAAGGUGCAAAGGAUAUUUCUGUUGAGAGAAUAUGACCGUUGGAGGGCAUUUCUGGAACUUCCAGAACCUGCAGUGGCUGAACUUUGGUAGGUAGGCAUUUCAGAAUAGUACACUGCUCUUGUACUUCUCGAUAGAGACAUUUGCCUUUAACCAUUGACUUCUGAUCAGAGUUAUGCUUCGUGUUGGAACUUGUGAAGCUUGGUGAUCAGAGUCAGAGGGAAGCUUGGAUCCUCUGACCUUCGUAACUUCUGCUUCUGGACCUUCAGAGCUUCUGAACCUUCAGAGCCUCUGGUCCCUCAGAGCUUCUGGUCUUCAGAUCUUCUGAUCCUCUGAUCUUCUGAUCCUCUGAUCUUCAGAUCCUCUGAUCUUCAGAUCCUCUGAUCCUCAGAUCCUCUGAUCUUCAGAGCUUCUGAUCCUCUGAUCUUCUGAUCUUCAGAACUUCUGUUCUUCAGAUCUUCUGAUCCUCUGAUCUUCUGAUCUUCAGAACUUCUGACGAAUAUAUCUUCUGGUGUCAGAAUCAGAACCUGUUUGUCAAAACACUCAAGACAAACAUUAGAGUAUCAUAGUUGUUCAUCCACAAAUAAAUACUUGUUAUCAUCAAAACAUAGAGUUGUACCACAUGACCAAAUCUUGAUCUUACAGCUACUUGUUGUUUGGGCGCUUAACGCUAUUAGGCGAUGGAGAAUAUUCGAAGGAGCUUAACCUUGGUGCAAGUAGAGAUGAGGACUUGAAGGACAGUGGAGUACUCGACGAGUAGAGUCGGGUUUAAGGCUAGAGCCUUGGGUUAGAGAGCUUACCGUUAUUGGUUUAAGCUCGCAUAAAGAUUUUAGGAAUUUAUACUUGAGGUUUCGGGUAGGUUCCGAUGCAUUGCUUUCUUGCGGUUCCCCGGUGUGGAGAUCGUAGGGAGUAGGUCGGAUUAGGAUGUCGUGGCAUAACAGAUUCCUUGUUGAAUCUGAUUUCUUUCGUUAGAUUUGUAGAUGUGUUCUUUCGUUCAUACAUUCGGGAACUUGCCUUGGUAAAGGCUUGAUGUAGAUUUUAUUUGUUGUUGGGUGUAGGAUUUACAUGUUUUGAAAACAAUUCAAAAGGAAAAAAAAAUUACUCGCUUUAUAAAUUCAUUCGGAAAAUAUUGCAUUUUUAAUUUAAUAGGUUACUAAAGUGACACCCGAAAUUCGGGGCGUUACAGUUACACUCAAGGUGGUGAAACCAAAGGGAAAAUUUAAACUUGACAUGUCUAAAUAUUAUAAUCAAGUUCCCUUGUACUAUCCUCCUGUUGCACCCAAAGUUCCGAGAACUUCUGGGAAAACUAACAAGAAAGGACCCAAGAUAUGGGUACCUAAGACAAAAAUUAUUCCUGUUGCAGAUAUCUUAUGCAGCUCAGUUAAGACACCUGUCAUGAUACCUGGACAGUGGAUGCUCGCGACACAUGACGGGCAUAAAGUCUAUAUUCCAAAAACUGAUGCCGCUUAAGUCAGGAGGAGACGUUGGCUUUGGAGGAAACCAGAAGGAAAAGAUCAUUGGAAAAGGUUCCAUAGGAGAUGGAAAAACUCCAGUUAUUAAUGAUGUACUUCUGGUGGAAGGAUUAUUGCAUAACUUGCUCUCCAUAAGCCAAAUAGCUGACAAAGGUUAUGAUGUGAUCUUCAAUCAAACCUGCGGUAAAGCUGUCAGUCAAACAAAUGGAUCUGUUCUGUUUUCUGGGAAGAAAAGAAAUGACAUCUACAAAAUCAAAUCUUCUGAACUGCUAUCUCAGAAGGUCAAGUGUCUCAUGUCCAUUAAUAAUGAGCAAUGGGUUUGGCACAGACGCUGUGAGACCCAAGUUUUUAAGUUUGGAAUAAACCGAAUAAACUUCCUUUUCACGAUUAAUUUGAUGUAACGUGAAGGAAAACCUGAACAAGUGUUUAUUGAAUGGAAUAAAUUUGUAAAGGAGAAAGUUCAGGAAAAGAUAAGGAUUGUAACAAAGUCGAUAAAAGUUAUAGCACGAUUAGUAUUCGCUUAAACCUAGGUCAAAAACGCUAGUAAAUAGCUAAUUUACUCUUUAAGGCACGAUGGAAACUAAUUCCAAAAAUCUUCAGAGAAAUGUUAGAACUUCUCUUAUUCGUCUAUAAACGAGCGUUUCGAUAUGAAACCCUGGAAUGUACGAACGACAAAUUCCAAUACUCGGAAGUUUGCCGAAACCGAAACCCUGAUAGUUCAGAAACCCUAAAAUCAACGGACGAUGAAGACUUUUUCCAUUCAGAACUUCAAACGAAGAUUCCACACGCGUACGCCUAUUUCCCCCGACAUUUCUAAUCUUUCUUCAGAACGAAGUUUUCUCAUCCGACAUCAACUGCAAAAAGUAGUUUUUCGGGUAAAAUCGAUUUACACCGACUUUUGAUCGUUUGAUUUAAUUCCAAGAAAUCUGCUUUGAGUUCUGGAAUUCUGUCGCCAGAACCUAUCUUAGAAUUCUCCGAGGAAUACGUAGGAAAAAUCGGAAUCGCGAAAUUUUCAUUUUUCCGCAUUUUCCAAAACCUAUAAAUAGCCAAGAAAUGAAAAUUUUUCAAAAACUUGCCAUUUUCUUUCCUUGAACCCGCGAACAUAGGAGAAGGAGGGGGAGAAAGUGAUUUUCGCCGAUUCUUGCCCGUUUGCUGCACCGUUCGUCGCUAAUCGAAGACUUCGAGGUAUAGAUACCAUAUCUCUCUUCUGAUCGUCAAUUCUGUCGACUUUCUCUAUGUCUUUCUGUGCUCAAAGUUUUGAGCUUUUUGUAAAACUGUCCAAAUAGCUUGAUUUUAGUGUCUAAACAUCUUCCCUACGUACCCAAGAGUACUUCUAGCAGAUUACAUUUUGCCGUAUGUCGCCGAAAUGCUGCCGGAAACAAUUUCUAUGAGAAAUACCCAUUUUUAAGCAAAGUUGCAACCUUUAAGCUGAAAAUUCACGACUUAGCUUAGCGCUAGUAGGAUUAGUCGUCAUAAACGUCGUUGUUGACGUCCCCAUCCAAUUUGUUUUUCGAAAAUCCAGUUUUGAAAUUCUGAGCUGAAAAUAAUGACCAAAAUACACCUGCGACAGUUUUCGAUCCGAAAAUUUUUCUGAGCUUAGAAUCGCCUUAGUUACGGCUAAUGAUAACCUAGGAACCAAGUUUGAUCGAAGAAAAAUCGGCCCACCUAAUUGUGCAUAGUGGCCGAGAGCUCCUCAUCAAGGGGAGGAAAAUUUCGUUUUUCGAAAACUUGUCUUAACGCGUUAGAUUGACGUACUUCGGAGUUUGUAAUGUUUCGUGUAACCCUAGUACGUAUUGUUUGCUGAGUUUCUGACUCAUUGUGAUUGAAUUCUGUGAUUUUGCUCUAAGGUUUGUUUGUUGAAACCUUGGGCUUCACUGAGCAAGCUUGUGAGCGAGACCUGCACUGCGAGACUAGAACAACUCGAGGGAACUAGAAUCCAUAUUUCAGUUUGGAAAUCACUGGCCAAGAAAUUCAUACGAGCUCUAAGGGACUCCGUUUACGUUCUAUGGGCUUUGGAAACCCUCCGCCUCCUGCAGUAGCUUCCUAGAACAUCUGAAAACUUCAACAAGUUUUGUGAUGGCAGGAAACUAUUGCUAUGAAACUCAAUGUUCAACUGCUGUAAUUUUUCAUUUGUUGUUUUGGAGUGAUCAACAGAACGACACCUUGCAGUCGAUCCUGGUGAGUACCAAAACUAUGCUUAUGAUUUUUCCUCUUUUUUCAACUGAGCUCUCAUCUGAUGAAUAUUGUUAUGAUUUUUCAAGGUCUAUUAGUGAGGACUCUCUUAGAAGGUUUGUACAGUUUGCAAGUGAAAGUCACUUGCAAAUUAUUGGCAGAUUUAGACACAUACAAAGGAAUUAUUUGCUGUUUAUUUUUAUAUUUUUGUUGGUUUUACGACUGGACCAUGUUUAUCAUUUAGUUCCAAACCUUUCAGUUUCUCACUUAAGCUAUUUUUUCCUUCAAGGUUAAUAGCUUUCUGAUGUCUAUCUUUGGUAUUGUUGGUAAGUUAGAGAGGCAUGGGCAAUAACUUACUAAUCUCCUUUCCUACUUCCUGAAGAGAAUAGAGGCCAAGCCCACCCUCCAUCCACACAACAUGGACAAGCUGUGCCUCUGCCGGAAAAUAGAGGCUGGACCUGGUCGUAAAGUAUGAGGUAGCCUAAUUUCCUGCUUGGCGGAGCUUAUCUCCAAGGACCUGAAUUGAUUUUAAAUUUCAGAAGUCACAUGAAAAGAAUUCAACAACAGAUUAAGAGUGCAUGAAACAGAAAUGUAACAAAAAGAAAGAGUGCACGAAACAAAAACAAGUAGAGCAGCAUUUGGAUAUUCAGAAGCUAAUAUCAUAUGCGUAUCAAAAUAAAUCAGUCAUCUCUGUGAUGGUUGAUAUAUUAAUUCUUGACAUACAGUCGUUUAUCUUUUGAUUUGCAGAUAUUUACGUAAUUUGAUCUA